rnacentral:rRNA from 1 species
GACGAACCGUGCGAACGUUGUUCGGAAUCACUGGGCUUAAAGGGCGCGUAGGCGGGCCGCCAAGUUCGAGGUGAAAUCCUCUGGCUCAACCGGAGAACUGCCUCGAAUACUGGAGGCCUCGAGGCGGGUAGGGGCACGCGGAACUGUGGGUGGAGCGGUGAAAUGCGUUGAUAUCCACAGGAACUCCGGUGGCGAAGGCGGCGUGCUGGACCCGAUCUGACGCUGAGGCGCGAAAGCCAGGGGAGCAAACGGG